GCAGCCGCCUCCGGGCGCUGUUUGCUCCCAGUUCCCUCCCAGUGUUUCCAGUAAGAGCGGCACUGGCAGGGAAAGCGCUCCCAGUUCCAUCCCCCUGCUCUCAGGAUCGCUCCCGGUGCUCCCAGGAUCACUCCCAGUGCCGCGCGGGGCGGUGUUAUUUCGGAACGCGCGCCCAGGACAGAGCGCGGCUGCUUUUGGGGGUCGGCACUGCCCGGGCCGGGGUGGGAGCCGAGGAGGAGCGGGAGGAAGAGGAGGGACAGAGGACGAGGAGGAAGAGGAGGAGCGGAAGGAAGAGGAGCGGCAGAACCACGUUGGUUACCCCGCCGCCUUCUCCCGCCGCUCGGGCCGAAGCUCCCCCGGCUCCUGCUGCAUCGCCCCCUCCAGCAGCCGUAGGAUUUCCCAUUCCCAAAACUUGGCCCGAUGCAGGUGGAGGAGGCUGUGAGGAAGAGGAAGAUGUCCCGAGAGCUUAAUGGAGGAGAAUCCCGAGGGACGUGAGAAUCAUCCGAAACAUGAUAGCCUUGCUAAUACUUUUCUGCAUAUUACCACAAUUUCAUGGACAACCCCCUGGUGAGCAGCUGUGGCCCAAAGCCACCAUUCAGCACACCAAUGUUCUUGGAUCCUAUCCCAAGGGUCAUUUCCCGAGCCUGGCAACCCUAGUACUGCAUGACUCCAAGGUGUACCGCCCGAAUGAGUGGAGAUGGGACCAGAACAAAUUGAUCAGAACCCUGAUGGGAACGGUUGGUGAGUCAAUUGUGGUAGAAAGGUGGAAGGAACUCUCCAUGAAAAGGCCACCUCCAUCAUAAUUGCUGGAAAUUUUAUGGAAACAGGUGGAAGGAAUCAUCUGGACAUCCCUUCAGCAAAAUUAUGUCCCACGAAGAAAUGGGGAAGUUCCAAAAUAAAAAGUCCCCUCGCUCUGCGUUGUCGCCAGGAACAUAUUGGUAGUUAUGCUUUAGGUCCCAAAACUAACCAUGUUGCAAUUACAAGAGGUUGUAAUGAUGAAUCACUUGAUUGCUGGUACAGUUUUACUUUGGUCAAACCUACUUACGUGACAUGUUGUUGGCAGAAUGACACAGCUAGUCCAUUCGGAUUAAGAGGCUUGGUUUACACAUUUAAGAUAAACACUGUACCAAAACCCACACCAAGUGCUGUAAUUACGCUCUCUCAAAUGCAAGGUGUGAAGCCCUUUUCUAAUACAUCUCAAAGGGCAGACACUGCAAGGCCUGCACUGAGCACGGUAAACACGGCAAUCACACCCCAAUUGGCAGAGGCAACAAAAAGCCCCUUUACAUGGCCCUGGUCUCAAGCCUUCCUGCAAUUUACCGGAUCUAUGGGAUAUGUCACGGGUCUAAACUUACUAAAAGUAGUUACACAUGAAGACAAGUUGUAUACUACAUGAGAAUGGGAGAAACAGAAAACCUGGCAGCUUCAAGGAGUAGUGGGAGAACAAAUUAGCAUUGGGUGUUGAACGGUUAAUGGGUCUGACUAUAGCAAAGCAAUUGCAAUCAGUGUUUCCACAGAUCAGGAAAACAAACAGGAGCAAGUCUGUACGCACCCAAGCAUUUGAGACUGCUGGCACAGUUUUACAUUAACUCACACUGCGGAGGUAGUUUGCCUCUGGUCCAAGGAUACUCAAGACCUUUCUUUUAAAUUUGUAAUAAAUGCUGAAACCUACUUUACCACUGUCACUACUUCACCCGUACCACCGGUCAUACUCAUCCCAAGAAUUUUCAAGAUUGGACCUUAUAUAAUCAGGAAAACUGGCCAACAACAAAUAUUGUUCAAUCCAGCAUGGUCUCCCAAACAGGUCAAAUUGCUAAUGCAGAGCAAUGUUUCAGAUAUUCAGCCAGCUUGUUCUCCAUUUCUGCAAACUUUUUUUGAAGGUUGGACCACUUGGCUUCGGAAAUGAAGCUCUUUUAAAAUUAGAACACCAAGGGACGUGACCAGCGUUGUGGGUACAGGAUUGGGAAUUCUGAAUAGCAUUGAUUCUGAAGUACUAAUGAACAAAUUGGCUGCUACAACUAGAGAUCUGACCAAAUUACAGCAACCACUGAGGUCAUCUCUGUUACCCUUGGGAACACACCAGUGGCUGCUGUCAAACAUUUUGCCAAAUUGGGAAAGAGUGAAUGUGAAUGAUCACAAAUUGGUGAUUGAUUCACUUGGUGCUACACAAAACAGUGUUUCCUUAGCCCUCAGCUGUAUCCAGGCACAAUUAUGGAUGCAGUCAGUCUCUGCUUCAAUUAUAAGAGAAGGCGAGGAAGGCACUUUCCCCACAGAAAUUCAGAAAAUAAUCUGGGACAGUGCCACUGAGUUUGAAAGAGAAUUCCAAUCCUGGUGGAAUCUGGUGAACUUUACUUAUGAUCCCAUUUCAAACACAGCCACUGCUUUUGUUUAAACCAUACGCAAUGCUUCUGUACAUUUGGUCUUCCCUGUUCUUGCAUUAGGAUUAAACCAUGACGGAGCUGUUCUCUAUCCCACAGAACAUAGGGGAUGGGCCCGUCAGGUCAAUGACGAAUGGCAAACUGUUAAUCUGGAAUCUUGUAUUGUCCGAGAACAACAAGGGUUCAUCUGUGAAAGCAAUGUAAUCGUAGCUCAGGAUAUCUGUUUAGACACAGAGCAAAACAUCUGUCAUUUUGAGAUUUGUCCUAAUGAGGCUACUGAAACAGUUCUUAUAUACAUAGGCAAUGGAUGUGCAUGCUUUAGAACCAUUUGUGAUUUUGUGUUUGUAAGAAGAUGUUGUGGUAGACACAAAGAACCACUCAAACUUUUGUGCUUGUAACUUUACUAAGAUUAUAGGAUGUGAUUUCUCUUAUGAAGCUCCAGUUACCUCUCACUACCUAUUGCAAUCCAACUACACACUGAUUCACAAGCUGAUGUCCACUCCUAUCGGAAUGAACCUUACCCUGGUGAGACAACUGCUGCUCCAUCAGGAGCUGGUUGAAAUUCUUGAGAACAAAUACACCAGGUUAUGGAGAGGGUAAAGCAAGAUGCUGAGCAUAGGUGGUGGGAUACUGUCUUUGGGUGGUCACCUACAGCCACAGAUGUCCUGAACAGUGUGUGCCACCCAAUUGUUGUUCUUUUGAUUCUAAUUACACUUGGUUAUAACUUGUCAGCAGCCCUAUUCGUUAUGAAAUGGAACACGAUGAAAAGGCUAAGGAGAUUGAUGUCUGUAGCCAAUGCACACCGCUUAGCCGAUGUCCUCUACACUAUAGAUGCCCCCAAAACAUUUGACACAAAACAAUUACGAAUUGAGCAUAUGUGCUUUAGAGCAAUUUUUGAUUCUCAAGUAUGAUUUACAGAAGGUUAUUUUGAUCUUUAGUAGAUUAUUUUAGAAAAUAAUUUUUAAAAGACAAUGCUUAUAUUAUGAUUUGUUUGUUGUUUUUGUUUUGAAAAUUUGUGAUUUGUUUCAACCAUUUUUUGAAAUUGUUAUACAAAUGAUAUUGCUUUAAUUAAUUAGCCUUUUUUUGAAAUUAUUAUAAUUAGCCAUUUUUGAAAUUGUUAUUAAAGAAUAACCAUGUGUGAAAAUUGCUAUGAUAAUCAAUAUUAAUUAUGUUUGCUUACUGCUUCUCUUUCCCCUAUCUUUUUCUUUUCUUUUCCCUCUCUCUUCUUUUUAUCCUCCUCUUUUCUGUCAUCCCUUUUUUUUCCGGGUUAUGCUACCAACAUGCAAUGAGUUCCGAAGAUUCAUCAACGACACUCCAGAGUUCUGCUGAUGAAGAUCCCUCAAGACAAUCGUGAGUCACGGGGUCGUGUGAGAUUCUGUCCGAAAUGUCCUUCAUUUUUGCCUCACAAUUGUCAUGAAGAAAAGACAACCGAAAAGUUAAAAACUGUUGAGCCAGUGGGAAGGGGAGGUCAGGUGCUUCUCAGAUCACUGUUUCCACAGGUGUUGUUUGCAGAACACGCCAUGCUGAACUUUGUGGAGAGCUUUGUCAAAGAGUGGCUUGAGGAGAGAGGACACAGCCGAAUUAAUUUGGUAAAGAUGUCCUAACUAGGGCAGAGGCCUUUUUGCAGGCAGGGUGUCUGUUGAGAAGGUAGCUGAAUAGAGAAUGGAAAAGUACAAGACCGUGGCUAAUUCCAAAUCUUGCAGGUGCAAGACAAUGUGUCCUUGGGCCUAAUGGAGUAUGAUAAAGAAAUGGACAGCGAGGCGUGAGAAGUAGAGAACGUAGGCCCAAAGGAAUGUGGAUGAGUUAAUGGUAUAGUUUAACCAAUAGAUUGCUUGGCUUACAGAAUAUUCAUAAGCUUAUUAUUUGCUGUAUAAGUGUUUGAUGCUUUCUUUAAUAAACUGAA